rnacentral:lncRNA from 1 species
UUUAAAUUGGACUCACCAUGACCUUGGAAGAAUUGGACAUAAUAUACCACUGUGACUCUCAGCGUCUUCGAGUUUGCGAGACUGAUUGCGUGUCUAGAUUUGAAAAUAAUUGAUAAUCAAAGAGAAGACUAAGGGUAAAAAAGGUGUUUGUGUGUCUAGAUAUGCAAAUCUGAAAUCCUUCCAUUAAAAUCCCAAAUCUCUUCGAUUACUCAAGAUCGAUAGCUAACUGAGAGUGACAAACAGGGAGUUUGCGUGACUGGGGCCCAAAUCUGACAGGGAGGCAGGGAGGACUGGAGGAGACUAGAGAUGACUUAGGAAGAAGGACUGUCAAAGAUGAAAACUAGAAGUCUCGAGAGUCUCGAUCAGGGAGUCCUUGAUGAAGAUGAAGAUGAAGAUGAAGAUGAAGACGAAGACAAAGACGCAUAGGUCAGGCCAUCAGGGAGUCCUCGACGAAGACGAAUGGUGAGACUCUCAAAGAUGGAGACUGUCUACUAUGAAGACUCUCCAUGAUGAAUGUGGAGUUGUCAAUGACGAUGAAAAUUGAAAACAGAGGCUUUGAGUCUUUAACCAACGAGCA